UUUGCUUCACGCGUCUGUCGCCUAUGCCGUGGUGUGUCGUGUGUGCCUUUGGGCUUUUUUUUUCCUGAGUUGGGCUUUUUUCUCAAGUUGACUUCAGAUUUUGGUACUUUGUGUGUGUCAAGAUUUCUUCCUUACUACUAGUAUUUUUUUAUGGGUGAGUUACACAUGAUCUCUCUUGAUGUGUAAUCAAUUUUUUUUAGGUGAGUUGCACAUGAUCUCUCUUGAUGUGCAAUUUAGUGCUUUUGGGAUUGAGUUGCAUAUUAAGACUAUUGAUGUGCAACCGAAUUUUUUGUGUGUGAGUUGCACAUGCUCCAGAUUGAUGUGCAAUUAAUGGAGCUUUUUUGGUUAGUGGUACAGUGGGUUUACUUUCUUUUCGAGGGUGAGUUGAACAAUAAGACUCUUGAUGUGUGCAAUUGAGAUUGUUUGGGGUUACUUGCACAUCACUUCUCUUGAUGUGUAAUUUAGUUUUUUUGGUGGGCGAGUUACAAUUUAAGAUUUUUGGCGCACAAUUGAGUUUGUUUUGUGAGUUGCACAUCAUCUCUCUUGAGUCUUCAUGUAUAAUUUAAUUUUCUUUCAAGGGUAGGUUGCAUAUUAAGACUAUUGAUGUGCAAUUGAGUUUUUUUUGGUGACUUGCACAUGACUGAUUUAUUUUCUAGAAUAAAGGUCCAUCCUCAGAUUAGAAAAUCCAUGUAGCUAUGUGAUCCUUUAGUGUGUUUUUCAUCAGAACUUUCUGUAUAAGGGAAUGGAAAAGUGAAGGAAACCAUUAUAGUGGGGUUUUGCAUUGUGUGCUGCUAAUAGAAGAGGGACAGGAAUAUACAAUAUAUAUGUGUCGUUUUCUCCUUUUACAUUACAUGUGUUGUGUCAGGAGGAGUGUCCAAGAGUAGGGGUGGAUAGACACACAGUGGGCCUCUUUCUUUCUUAGCUUGGUGUGUGAUAAUGAGAACACAAGAGGCCCACGGGAAAACCCAUGUAC
rnacentral:lncRNA from 1 species